rnacentral:tRNA from 1 species
CUGGGUUGGCCGAGUGGUUAAGGCGUUGGACUUAAGUUCCAAUGGACAAGUGUCCGCGUGGGUUCGAACCCCAGCCACCCAG